UACGUAGGUGGCAAGCGUUGUCCGGAAUUAUUGGGCGUAAAGCGCGCGCAGGCGGUUCUUUAAGUCUGAUGUGAAGCCCACGGCUCAACCGUGGAGGUCAUUGGAAACUGGAGAACUUGAGUACAGAAGAGGAAGGCGGAAUUCCACGUGUAGCGGUGAAAUGCGUAGAGAUGUGGAGAACACCAGUGGCGAAGGCGGCUUCUGGUCUGUAACUGACGCUGAGGCGCGAAAGCGUGGGAGCAAACAG
rnacentral:rRNA from 1 species